rnacentral:misc_RNA from 1 species
UUUGAAACAUUCAAAAGCAGGGUAUGCAUACCCAAAAAGCAACACAAGACAUCUGGUGAUGAAAUCUCCUAACAUCCUUAAUCUCUAUAGCAAGGACCCGCCAAAAAUUCCUGUACAACAUCCAUUAAAAAUUUUCCUCAUCCAAUCCACAAACCAAGUAAGAGUGGACAAAUAAGAAGAACAGGAACAAGAAGAAGACAUUCAUCCAAGAAAAAGGGAAGAAGUUGGACCUGUAUAUUAAUAUAGAUCAAAAUGAUGAAGAAGAAACUUUCGUUUGAAGAUAUCAAAAUACUUCUUUGUUUUCUGCGAAAUGCGGAUGGAGAUAGAGAAAGAGAUACAAAAAUUUCGCAGAAACGUGAGAG